UCAUUCUCAUUCUUUCAACAGAUUAUUUAAAACUGUUGGCUAACUAUGAAAAAUAGUUUGAUAAGAAAAUUAAGUGCUAGAGUCAAAAGAUGUGUUCAGAAAAUUUAAAAAGUGAUUCUUAUAUUUGGUGUCACAAUCUAUUAAAAUAUAACAGUGUGUACCAUUAACUAUAUCAAUAUAAUCUGGCAACUAAAUCAGGAAAGGCGAGCUGAAUAUUUUCAAGUCUUAUGCUCUGGGAAAGGGCAGUUUUCUUAAGUUAUGAAUGUGUCAUUAUACACCAUCACCAGAAGGACCAUUUAAUUUGGCUUUGAAUUAGAUUGUUAUGCAGAUGUUGCAAAAAUAAUUAAAAAUUCUAAUUGAUUUUUAGUCAACAUAGGGUAUACCAGAUGUUGCACAGUGAGCUUAGGUCAUUAUUCCAUGGUCAGAAAUUACUGUGAAGCAUAGCAAUUUACUUAUAAUAAAAUAAUAGCUAUGAAAUUUAAGGUUGUCGACUCUCAAUACUU
rnacentral:lncRNA from 10 species